UACGUAGGGGGCAAGCGUUGUCCGGAUUUAUUGGGCGUAAAGAGCGUGUAGGCGGCCAGGUAGGUCAGCUGUGAAAACUCGAGGCUCAACCUCGAGACGCCGGUUGAAACCAUCUGGCUAGAGUCCGGAAGAGGAGAGUGGAAUUCCUGGUGUAGCGGUGAAAUGCGCAGAUAUCAGGAAGAACACCCGUGGCUAAGGCGGCUCUCUAGUACGGUACUGACGCUGAGACGCGAAA
rnacentral:rRNA from 1 species